UAUGUACUCCCUCCAUUCGUAAUUACUUGUCGCAGAAAUGGAUGUAUCUAGAUGUAUUUUAGUUGUAGAUACAUCCAUUUUCGAGACAAGUAAUUCCGAACGGAGGAAGUAAUAG
rfam:Triticum urartu cultivar G1812 contig9335, whole genome shotgun sequence.